CGUGAGGGUGAGAGAGAGACAGAAGUUCCAGCAGCCAGGGAGGGUGAUUUUUGUCAAUGCCAUCUGCUUGAUCAAUUUUCAUUCUACACCAAAGGCAGGCGUGGCGGCGGCAGGCUGUCCCGGCGAAACAUCAGCGCCUGCCCAGCGGCGACGACCGGAUCUGCAGCAGCGGUGACCCCAUUGGAGCCGACGGGAUUUUUGUGGAGGGGUACGCCGAGUUUUAAUUUGGAGAGUGUUCUGUUUUGGGGAUUUCUUUUGUUCUCGUCGAGAGAGAAAGAUGGAGGUUUGGGAGGCGAGAAAGUGAGGGAAAGGAGUAUACGCAUGUGUUGAAAUUGGGACUAUUUAAUCCUCGUCCCUUUUGUUUUAUUAUGUUAAUAUUCUAGUGUUGAUUAUAGUUAGUGGGUGUGUACACGUGGAAUGGAAGUAAAUACAUAUAUUUAAUAGUAUCAGUUUUAAUAA